rnacentral:rRNA from 1 species
CCUACGGGAGGCAGCAGUCGAGAAUCAUUCACAAUGGGGGAAACCCUGAUGGUGCGACGCCGCGUGGGGGAAUGAAGGUCUUCGGAUUGUAAACCCCUGUCAUGUGGGAGCAAAUUAAAAAGAUAGUACCACAAGAGGAAGAGACGGCUAAAUCUGUGCCAGCAGCCGCGGUAAUACAGAGGUCUCAAGCGUUGUUCGGAAUCACUGGGCGUAAAGGGUGCGUAGGCUGUUUCGUAAGUCGUGUGUGAAAUGCGCGGGCUCAACCCGCGGACGGCACAUGAUACUGGGAGACUAGAGUAAGGGAGGGGUAACCGGAAUUCUUGGUGUAGCAGUGAAAUGCGUAGAUAUCGAGAGGAACACUCGUGGCGAAGGCGGGUUCCUGGACAUUAACUGACGCUGAGGCACGAAGGCCAGGGUAGCGAAAGGGAUUAGAUACCCGAGUAGUC